GUCUACAGCCUCACCACCCCGAACGUGCCUGAUCUCACCUGCUCUCAGAAGCUAAGCAGGGUUAGGCCUAUUAGUACUUGCAUGGUAGACUGCCUGGAAAUAGCAGGUGCUAUAGAUU
ensembl:rRNA 5S_rRNA 5S ribosomal RNA